UUUUUUUUUUUUUUUUUUUUUUUGUCCUUUUGCCAUUUCCUGAGCCGCUCCCAUAGCAUAUGGAGGUUCCCAAGCUAGGGGUGGAAUCGGAGCCAUAGCCUCCAGCCUACGCCAGAGCCACAGCAACGCGGGAUCCAAGCCACGUCUGCAACCUACACCACAGCUCAUGGCAACGCCGGAUCCUUAACCCGCUGAGCAAGGGCAGGGAUCUAACCCACAACCUCAUGGUUCCUAGUCGGAUUCGUUAACCACUGAGCCACAAUGGGAACUCCAAGCCCAUCUCUUUUAGAGUUACACAUCCACAUCACCCACAAGAUAGAAUAUCUGCCUAUAUCUGCAGGGGAAAGAUAGUCAUCAACCCCCAGCAUCGUACAGUCAUCAUCAUUACUGAAAGGAAAAGUACGAUUUCUCUUUGUUUUUCAUAUUCUAACUGCUAAGGAUUUGGUCAAGUUUGCCCCACUGCCUCUUGACAAAUUAAGAAACAGCUAAUCCAAUUCUCUGCAGACUUACAGGGCACUAGCCCUAUGCUGAAAAUUGUUGUGCUCUGAGUCAGUAUCACCAUAACCAAUUUUAAAGAGAGGGCUGGGAAGGAAGACAUAGGCUAAAGGGUGAAAUCCGGAUGUUGUAUAGGAGAGAGAACACACCCAGAAGGAAGAGAUAAGAGGGGAAAGUUUAAAAAGGAGAAAGACAAUGCAAGUGGUUAAUUUAAGAGAUGGCAGGUAGGUAGGUAGGCUGAAAGUUCUAUAACUGAGAAGGAUGCUAACGGGCUUUCCCAGGACAGGCCNNNNNNNNNNNNNNNNNNNNNNNNNNNNNNNNNNNNNAUAACAGUAUCUGAUGUACAUUUGUUGAGUUGUUUCACAGAUGUGAAAUCCCCCACCAACUGGAAAAUGUUAACAACUUGAAGACCAUAAGCACAGGCUUCCUGGAGCCUGAGGACUGAUAAUGUUUAUCCUUGUGAUGCAGCCCUGUUACCUCACCAACAACGCAUCAGAGAAUUGUGCAGGAGCUGACCACUUACCCUGUGAAACUGAGAAGGGCCCUGUGGGGCUCCUGGGCACACAAGCCUUUCUAUGUCCUCCAUUUCUUGCUUUUAGGGAAUAAGCUUCAGCCUCCAUGACCUUCCCUGAGUUCCAAAGGAUAAUUUCAAACAGUUGCUAAUGAAGGAAGUGAGGGGAUGCAAAGACCAGGGAGGAACAAUGAAGAGACAACAGUGCAGCCUGGGGGUAGGGUCCUGGUUCCUCCUCAAGGAAUACGAAUAACAAUAUCUUUUGACUUCUUACACAGAACUAAAACCCCCAACAAAUGGAAGAUGUUAUAAUGCAUUCUUCAUUCCUGAAAGAAGGAUCACCAGCUUUGAAAAACAGUGAAAGCAUGCAUCUAAAGUGAUCCUUAACUGUGGCCCAAUUUUUUAUUCUCAAAACUAUAAAACCAUCUCCCAAUCUCUUCCAAGGCAUUAGCCUUGUCAUGAAGGGAUUAGCCUGCUGUGGCCCUCUUUGCCUGGCAAAGCAAUAAAGCUAUCUUUGUUUGCCCGCACCAAAACUCUGUCUCUGUGUUUGUAUUCAGCACCAGUGGACAGAGGUCAAGUUUCUGCAACACCUGUGACCGCCCUCCCUAGACAUUUUUUUUUUUUUUUGGUCUUUUUAGGGCUGCAUCCAUGGCUAGGGGUCAAAUCAGAGCUGUACCUGCCAGACUGCACCACAGCCACAGCAACUCAAGAUCCAAGCCUAUACCACAGAUCACAGAAACACCAGAUGCUUAACCCACUGAGUGAGGCCAGAGAUUGAACCCACAUCCUCGUGGAUACUAGUCAGGUUCAUUACUGCUGAGCCACAAUGGGAACUCCCCUCACAUGGCUUUUAAAAAAUGCUUUGCUAAAACUCUUCAAGGAAUUUGAGGUUUCAGGGGUCAUAAGCCACUUGUCUCCUUGCAUGGCCCUGCAAUAAAACUUUCUCUGCUCUAAGCUCUGACAUUUCUGUUUGUUUGGCCUCACUGUGUAUUAAGCACACAAACUUGAGCUAACAGUUCUAUUACUUUCCUACAAUCAUAUCUUUAAUAUAUUUUCACUCUUGGAAAGAAAACUGCCAAUGAUGCAGCUCUGACAGAAGCUUUACAUGCCUACAGUCAGUUCUUAAACAAUACUCUUUCCACCUAAUCAGAAUAAAGGAGAGCAAAAAUGAAUAGGAAUAUUUCUCCUUUUAUCCAUAGGUAUUGCUACCCUUAUCCCUCAAGUUGCUUAUUUUAUGGCUUAUUUCUUGUUUCAAAACCCCUUUAUAAUGUUUUCAACAUGAUUUUACCCAGAAAAGGCUAGAUAAAAGAAAGUAAGAGGAAUUCNNNNNNNNNNNNNNUUCCUGCUGUGGCACACCAGGAUUGGUGACAGCUCUGGAGUGCUGGGAAGCAGGUACCAUCCCUGGCCCAGCAGAGUGGGUUAAAGAUCUGGCAUUGUCACAUCUGUGGCAUAGGUCACAACUGCAGCUCUGAUCUGAUCCCUGGCCUGAGAAUUCUAUAUGCUGUGGGGUGGCCAAAAAAAAGGGAAUAAAAGAAAAGAAGAAAUAGAAAUCCACAGCAUCAUUUAGCUAAGCUGCAUUAAGGGUGAUCCAACGUAUGUCAAUAAAUUGACAAUGUAGAGGAAAGACAAACAAGCAAGUAGGCCAACAAAACCUUAGCAACAUAUAGAAAAAGACCACAACUUUAAAAAUGAAAUGAAGUUGUUGGUAUAAUUUUCCUUUUUAUAAAUGGCAUCAUUUCACUCCUAAAAUAUUUGAAGGCUGUUCUAUCCUUUUAAGAGCAAAUACUGUGAUUUUAUAGUCCAUAAAGAUUUAAUAUCAUCAUCCUUUUGAGCACUUUAUCAGGCUGCAAGUAUUUUAUAUUCUAUGAUGGAUUUCCCCAAAAUGCUCAUUUCUUUUAAGCUAAGAUAGACCUGUAGCUCUUCCAGAGUUAGAAGAAGCCAGAAGACAGGGGUUAAAUGUUACAAAACAAAGAUUCAUUUGUUUGUUUGCCUUGCCAGGGAUAGCCAGGGCCCUUAGAGAUGCAUUCAGCAGGUCUCUCUGAGAAUUCAAAGAGCUAAAUAUUUAGGGAAAAGGGUUGAGGGGAACAAUUUUUUUCUCUACCCUUCUAGGUUCUUGGCUGUGACACACUCAACCCCAUAACAACACAGAUUAGCAAAAGAAAAAUAAAAAGAAGUUUAAAUACCAUGGAUACCUCCUGUAUAUAUCAAAGAGACUCAGAAUAACUGAGUUACUCUCUGAGAUGGUCCAAGUCUCCAAGCCACCACGUCUAAUAACAACUCCAGCUAAAGACAAAAGAAAGUGUUGGCGUGGAGAGAGGCCCGUUAUGGGAGGGGACCAGGAAAAGCACAGCAAACAAGGGUCAGGUUGUUCUCCAGAUGAAAAUCCAUGUGUUCGCCACUGUUGAGUGUUUCUAGAGACUUAGUCAUCCUCCUCUUCCUGGAACAGGAGGGAGACACCUUACAAGUGGAAACUGCAUUCAUAAACUUAAAUUAUCUUACAAAAUGGUAGCUUCUACUUGGUUUUCAAAGCUUGUCCAGUGUCUGAUGUUUCUAAAAAAUAAUCAGCUCAAGAUAAUCCUUCUGCCAAAGAGGCAUAUUUGGGGUGGCAAAUUCUGCUCCCCUUCAGGAAAACAUACUCCAGAUAGAGCAAUACUCUGGAUUGAGUCCUCUGGUUGUCUCACAAUGUGGAUUGUGAUAGAUUGCUUGAGUUGUUAGUUUCAGAUUUCACAUCACUGAUGCAAGGAAGUCUGGUUCCAAACAUGUCUGAUACGGAGAUGUCAAAUCCAGUGAGACCUGGGCCAUUCUACAUGCUUGAAGCCUAUCAAGGAUGUUCUUUAACAUAGAAUAAUGAUUCAAUCUGUAAAAUAUAUGUUUUUACUGAUACUUUUUUUAUGGUCAAACCUGUGGCAUAUGGAAGUUCCUGGGCCAGUGAUUUAAUCCGAGCUGCAGCUGUAACCUAUGCCACAGUUGCAACAAAAGCAGAUCCUUUAACCCAGUGCACCCAGCUUGGGAUCCAACCUGUACCUCCAUAGCAACCUGAGCCACGGCAGUGGGAUUCUGUUUUUUGUUUGUUUGUCUGUUUGUUUGUUUUUUGCUUUUUAGGGCCACACCCAUGGCACAUGAAGUUCUCAGGCUAGGGGUCAAAUCGAAGCUGCAGCUGCCAGCCUAUUGUGGCUGGGCGAGAUCCAAGCCACGUCUGUGACGUACACCACAGCUCACAGCAAUGCUGGAUCCUUAACCCACUGAACUAGGCCAGGUAUCGAACCCACAUCCCCAUGAAUACUAGCCAGAUUUGUUUCUGCUGAGCCAUGACAGGAACUCCCUGCAAUGGGAUUCUUAACCCACUGAUCCACAGCAGUAACUCCCUGAUACUUGUUUUGAAUGUGGAGUUCUCCAAGAUUAUUUUGACACCCCUGGUUCCAAGAAAAAAAAGUAUUUUGGAUACCUAUUAUAUAAUAUGUGUUAAGACGUAUUUCAUUUAAUUCUUACCACAACCCAAGAAGGUGCUAUUAGCCCAGCAAAGAUACUUAUUAUUUUUCUAAGGUGGAUUUGUAAGGUUAGUACAAACAUCUAUUUACAAAGGUAAGUCAACUAACAUUAGAAAUGGAAAACAAUAACCUGGUGACUGGAGACCCCAUUUAAGCAGUGGCACUGGAGACUAGAUGAAAUUUCCAUUCUGUCUGAUUCACUUUAAUAGAAAUCUAUUUUACAGAGGCAGGUCUGGGUUGCAUUUGCUAUAGUCAUUUGCUGACACUGAGCAGGGGCAGGUUUUCAUUCUAGAAAGGGUUAUUUUUAUUCCAGGUCUAAAUUUCUCCCCUGUAUAAUAGUUAUUUACAACCUAUGACUUAUCUCUCCUGUUAGGACAGUGAAUCCCUUGAGGCCAGAAUGUCUUAUUUUCAAUUAUCCUCUCACAGCAUCUUUCAGGGAGAGUUGUUCAAUAGAUAUUUGUGAAACAACUAAAUCAAGAGUCUCAAACUAUUUAACCACUCAGGCAUACAUUAGUUUUCUUGUGUGAUUCUCAUGGGACUUGUUUGUGCAUGCCUGUGGGGCAAGCUUGGUUCUGCUCUCCCCGUACUUAUAUUCUGGUACAGAGAAUAUACACCAAUACAUUCUACACCAAUAAAUGAGUAGAAGUAAUUAAGAUGCUUGCAAUGAUGGAGGCGUACACCAAGAAAAACAGGAGCCUGGAUGAUGCUGCCCCUUAGUUUGCUGGAGAGUGAGGGAGAGCUGGGCAGACUGAAGGGGAGAAGAGCUGACAUAGGCUCUGUCCAGCCAAGGCAGAAAAGUUCAUACAAUCGCAGCAGGAUGAACCCAGAAGGACAAGUUAAUUUGGUGAGUAAGAGAAUGGGACAGAUAGGAAUGUACAGAAUUUUAUAAUGAAAAGAGCACUCAUGUGAGUCAAAAGACCUACUUCUAGUUCCAACUCUGCUACUGAAUUACUGAAUUACCUGAGGUAAGUAACUUAAACUCUCUAAAACUGUGAAGUGUGUAUUCAUUGUCCAAGUUAGGAUUUAGUGUCCUAUGUUAAGAAACAGAACAAAAGAUAAAAUAAGACAACAGGCUAAGUACGGUCCCUUAUGUUAAACUGAGUCCCUCCAAAAGCGAAUUUCCCUGCCAAGUUUAUGAUUACCCUCUCUAUCCAAAACUUUAUUCCCUUUCUUGUCCCCUUUGACCUCAAUCCUGUGCUAACUGAACACUAAUCAACCAGAGACAAAUGACCAAAGAGCUAUCGUCAUUAAUAUCGUUAACAUACAAACUCAGGGCAAAAUGAGCUCAGAGAAAAAGUUGUUCCCAUCGUGGCUCAGCAGAAACAAAUCUGACUGGUAACCAUGAGGACACAGGUUCGAUCCCUAUCUUCACUGAGUAGGUUAAGGAUCUGGUGUUGCUGAGACUGUGGCGCAGGCCGGCAGCUACAGCUCUGAUUUGACCCCUAGCCUGGGAACCUCCACAUGCCACAGGUAUGGCCCUAAAAGAGACCAAAAAAUUGAGCUCAGAGACCCACAAAGCAUGGCCUGCCAUAAACCAUAGACAUUCUGACUCCCAAAACUACGAUUAAGAAAUGUCACAAGAUGUGAUUAAUCUCACCUUCUCUGUUCUUCCCCUUUAAAAACUCUGAACUGGAAGACCAGGUUGCAAUGGAUCUGAGGCUUGUCUCCCAAAAUCUUGCUUGCCGUGCUGCAAUAAACCCUUACUUUGCUGCAAACAUCUGCUGUCAUAGUUGCCUUUCUGCACUGUGGGCACACAGGCCCUUUCUAAAUGAUUAUACUAAGCCCCACAUCACCAAACCAGGACCUGACUUAAUUAUAGCUUUAGCUCUCCCAGAAAUGGAAUCAUAAACCAGUUAAUCAGGAAUCAUCUGAUCAGCACUACUUAGGUCAUCUGUCCAACAGACCCCUGUCAUCCUCUAAAUGACAGUAACUUUGCAAUAACCAACCCAGGUCUUUUUUUGCCUGGUAUACUUUUCUUGUUCCUGUCCCCUCCUGCUAAUACAAGUCUUUCAUUUUGUACAACUCCUCAGAGCUUCUAUCUGUUAGAUUGGACACUGCCUGAUUCGUGCAGUUUUUGCAUAGAUAAACUCUUAAAACUUUUAAUGUGUCUCAGUUUCUCUUGCUAUUGUAUUCUUUGCUCAAAACAAUACCCCAUGUCUCCUGCAAAAUGAUCCUUUCUAUAUCCUAAUUAUGCGGUUCAAAGAGAAGUCCCCAACCCUUUACAAAUGGCCCUUUUGGCCACUUGAUAUAUUGCCCACAGACAUCCAGAACAUGGACUCUGGAGUCAGAUUUUCUGAGUGUGAGUCCUGGUCUUAGCACUUUCUGUGUGACUUUGGCU
rnacentral:lncRNA from 1 species